rnacentral:misc_RNA from 1 species
GAUGAAGAACGUAGUGAAAUGCGAUAAGUAAUGCGAAUUGCAGAAUCCGUGAGUCAUCGAAUCUUUGAACGCAUAUUGCGCCCCCUGGUAUUCCGGGGGGCAUGCCUGUCCGAGCGUCAUUGCUGCCCUCAAGCACGGCUUGUGUGUUGGGCCUCCGUCCUCCUCCCGGGGGACGGGCCCGAAAGGCAGCGGCGGCACCGCGUCCGGUCCUCGAGCGUAUGGGGCUUCGUCACCCGCUCUUGUAGGCCCGGCCGGCGCUUGCCGACACAUCAAUCUUUUUUCCAGGUUGACCUCGGAUCAGGUAGGGAUACCCGCUGAACUUAAGCAUAUCAAUAAGCGGAGGA